AUUCCAACACAAGAAAUUAGCCCAUGUUAUACAAAUGAAAAAAAAAAGGGAGAGAGAGAGAGAGAAUAUUUAUAACAAUAUAUUACAAAUAUGGCAAAAUAAUAAAGAAAAUACAAAGUUAUAGAUAAAAUCCUUUUUGGCUAGAUUCUUGAAGAUAAUGAUGGCUUGAAUCUUGUGUUCUCCAAAACUUUAUCCUCCUUUCUUGAUGUAUUAUCCUGUUGUUGCUCUGAAAUUCACUCCCAAAAUGCAAAGAAAAAGAAAAAAAAAUCAAAGGAAAAAGAAAAGAAAAAUGAAAGGAAAAAGAAAGAUAAAAAAUGAAGGAAAAAAGAAGCCUA
rnacentral:lncRNA from 1 species